CGAUGUUGGGGGAGGACGGGAACCAGGGGCCACAGUUUAAGAAUAAGUGGUAAGCCAUUUAGAACGGAGAUGAGGAAACACCUUUUCACAAUGAGAGCUGUGAGUAUGUGGAAUACUCAGCCUCAGAAGGCAGUGGAGGCUAAUUUUUUGGAGGCUUUCAAGAGAGAGUUGGAUAGGGCUCUUCAAUAUAGUGGAGUCAAUGGAUAUGGGGAGAAGG